rnacentral:rRNA from 1 species
AUGCUUACACAUGCAAGUCGAACGGUCUUUUAGGAGACAGUGGCGGACGGGUGAGUAACGCGUAAGAAUCUACCUUCAGGUUGGGGACAACCACUGGAAACGGUGGCUAAUACCGAAUGUGCCGAGAGGUGAAAGGCUUGCUGCCUGAAGAAGAGCUUGCGUCUGAUUAGCUAGUUGGUAGUGUAAGAGACUACCAAGGCGACGAUCAGUAGCUGGUCUGAGAGGAUGAUCAGCCACACUGGGACUGAGACACGGCCCAGACUCCUACGGGAGGCAGCAGUGGGGAAUUUUCCGCAAUGGGCGAAAGCCUGACGGAGCAAUACCGCGUGAGGGAGGAAGGCUCUUGGGUUGUAAACCUCUUUUCUCAGGGAAGAACAGAAUGACGGUACCUGAGGAAUAAGCAUCGGCUAACUCCGUGCCAGCAGCCGCGGUAAUACGGAGGAUGCAAGCGUUAUCCGGAAUGAUUGGGCGUAAAGGGUCCGCAGGUGGCAUUGUAAGUCUGCUGUUAAAGAGUUUGGCUCAACCAAAUAAGAGCAGUGGAAACUACCAAGCUAGAGUGUGGUCGGGGCAGAGGGAAUUCCUGGUGUAGCGGUGAAAUGCGUAGAUAUCAGGAAGAACACCAGUGGCGAAGGCGCUCUGCUAGGCCGAGACUGACACUGAGGGACGAAAGCUAGGGGAGCGAAUGGGAUUAGAUACCCCAGUAGUCCUAGCCGUAAACGAUGGAUACUAGGCGUAGCUCGUACGACCCGAGCUGUGCCGG